rnacentral:lncRNA from 1 species
UGCUGUGAACGGAGGACGUACCAGUGGCCCUGGGACCUUAGGUGGUGGGUCGUUUUCACACUUUCUUUUGUACAGCACCGGGUGGGCUGCAGUGAUUUUCGUUUUGUGUGAUUUUCUUUUGGGUCCACGGCUGCUGGUAAGUCCAAGUUCCAUGUUUGUUUUAUUUUCACUUUAGGACACUGUCAACAAUGACGCUACAUCUUGGUUUCUAAAUAUUUUAUUUAUUUUUACUAUAAAUAAAACUGUUUUAAUAUUGGAGCCAACCUGCCUCAGUGUGCAUCCUUGAAUCUGUGCGGCCUCCUUUUAUUCUUUUUUAUCUAUUUUUCUUAAAUAUAUUUCCUGGGGGUGAAAUUCCCCUAGGUGGCGUUGUCAUUUUAUUAUUUCUUUUAUAACCCCGCCGACCACUUGGUCACAUAAGCAUCUGCACAGACGGCAUGCUGAGGCUAAGCUAGCCAAGAACCCAGAGUGAUGUUAAAGCUGAGCCAGCCCAGCAGACACACCUCCGA